rnacentral:rRNA from 1 species
CGGUAGAGAGAAGCUUGCUUCUCUUGAGAGCGGCGGACGGGUGAGUAAUGCCUAGGAAUCUGCCUGGUAGUGGGGGAUAACGUUCGGAAACGGACGCUAAUACCGCAUACGUCCUACGGGAGAAAGCAGGGGACCUUCGGGCCUUGCGCUAUCAGAUGAGCCUAGGUCGGAUUAGCUAGUUGGUGGGGUAAUGGCUCACCAAGGCGACGAUCCGUAACUGGUCUGAGAGGAUGAUCAGUCACACUGGAACUGAGACACGGUCCAGACUCCUACGGGAGGCAGCAGUGGGGAAUAUUGGACAAUGGGCGAAAGCCUGAUCCAGCCAUGCCGCGUGUGUGAAGAAGGUCUUCGGAUUGUAAAGCACUUUAAGUUGGGAGGAAGGGUUGUAGAUUAAUACUCUGCAAUUUUGACGUUACCGACAGAAUAAGCACCGGCUAACUCUGUGCCAGCAGCCGCGGUAAUACAGAGGGUGCAAGCGUUAAUCGGAAUUACUGGGCGUAAAGCGCGCGUAGGUGGUUUGUUAAGUUGGAUGUGAAAUCCCCGGGCUCAACCUGGGAACUGCAUUCAAAACUGACUGACUAGAGUAUGGUAGAGGGUGGUGGAAUUUCCUGUGUAGCGGUGAAAUGCGUAGAUAUAGGAAGGAACACCAGUGGCGAAGGCGACCACCUGGACUAAUACUGACACUGAGGUGCGAAAGCGUGGGGAGCAAACAGGAUUAGAUACCCUGGUAGUCCACGCCGUAAACGAUGUCAACUAGCCGUUGGAAGCCUUGAGCUUUUAGUGGCGCAGCUAACGCAUUAAGUUGACCGCCUGGGGAGUACGGCCGCAAGGUUAAAACUCAAAUGAAUUGACGGGGGCCCGCACAAGCGGUGGAGCAUGUG